rnacentral:tRNA from 1 species
GCCCUAGUAGCUCAGCACU